CUCCUUCUCUCUAUCACAUACCACUGCUGGAGAUACAGUCACCACCGUCGACAGUCCUCAUGAUGUUGCCAAUGCCACUGUCAGCUACAUCCACCGUCUACCAGAUUUGGCUUUGAAACCACCAGUUGGCCCUCCUCUUCCACCCAACGCUUCUAUCUCCCUCUAUCGUUGUCAAACCUCACUCCUCCACUAGUCCAUCCGGCAAGAAACCUUAUUCCACCACUUUUUAGGGCUAAGGUUAUGGACAAGAAGGAAUUUUAAUUAAAAAGUUCCGAGUGCUAUUUAUCUGGAUUAGGAUUAUUGAAUGCGAAUUUUCGAUGGUUAAGGAAGUGAACCGUGUAAUUUAUUUGAAUUCUAGUUGAAGGCUCUGAAUGCUGUUUGUAUGGAUUCGGAUUAUUGUUUGAUUUUAUGUGGAUUUAAGGAAGUUUUUAUGGCUAAAGAAGUGAACAUUGUCAUUGAUUUGAAUUCUUGUUGAAGGUUUCGGUUGCUAUUUGUCUGGAUUCAGAUUAAUAUAUGAUUUUGUGCGGAUUUUACUAAAUUUUGACAGUUGAAGGAGUGAACUGUGUAAUUGAAGUGGUACAACAUUUAUUGACUUCACGGUGGUGGCAAGAAUAUCAAAAGCCAUAGUAAGCUUAUAGGUGAUGGUGGAGAGAAAAUUGGUUUUGGUGUUGGAUUUGGUAAUGAAGGAGAUGGAACCAUCAUAGUUUUAUCAAGUUUUUAAUGAUGGGUGGUUUUUUUAUCAGAUCUUUUGUUUAACCAGAGUUUUGGGAUGAUUGUUGGUAUUUUACAGUGUCGGUGAUUUUCUAAUCCAUGGUGAUUCUAUUGUUGGUGGUCGUGGUAAGGUGGUGCAUAUUUGAUUCGUUGGUUCUGUGGUUGCUGUGAUGGUUUUGUGAUUGGUUGUGACUUGAUAUUGAACUGGUCACAGAUAGUCACAUUUAAUACAAUUUUGGUCACAAUUAGUCACAUUGAAGAUAAAGUUGGUCAUGGUUAAUCACAGGUCUACAGUGUGUGCAAGUUUUUUAUGGUGACCCUAUGUGAUCAAGUAUGUGUCUGUUGUCACUGUUUAUGGCCAAUUUUGUGUUGAUUGUGAUCGGUUGUGACUUGAGAUUGACUUGGUCACAAGCAGCCACAGUGAAUACAAAUUUGGUCACAGUUAAUCACAAGCGUUGGAGUGGUCAUUGGAGUAGUUUGUUGGAGGCAUCGCUGAACAAUCGUCACAGUGAUCGCUGGAACAAUUGUCGAAGUGAUCGGCGGAGCUAAUGGCUCAUCUCUCU
rnacentral:lncRNA from 1 species